rnacentral:rRNA from 1 species
UACGGAGGGUGCAAGCGUUAUCCGGAUUCACUGGGUUUAAAGGGUACGUAGGCGGGCAGGUAAGUCAGGGGUGAAAUCUUCGAGCUUAACUCGGAAACUGCCUUUGAUACUAUCUGUCUUGAAUAUGGUGGAGGUAAGCGGAAUAUGUCAUGUAGCGGUGAAAUGCUUAGAGAUGACAUAGAACACCCAUUGCGAAGGCAGCUUACUACGCCUAUAUUGACGCUGAGGCACGAAAGCGUGGGGAUCAAACAGG